rnacentral:rRNA from 1 species
UACAGAGGGGGCAAGCGUUGUUCGGAAUUACUGGGCGUAAAGGGCGCGUAGGCGGCCUGCUAAGUCGAACGUGAAAUCCCUCGGCUCAACUGAGGAACUGCCUCCGAUACUGUUCGGCUUGAGUCCCGGAGAGGGUAGUGGAAUUCCGAGUGUAGCGGUGAAAUGCGUAGAGACUCGGAAGAACACCAGUGGCGAAGGCGGCUACCUGGACGGGUACUGACGCUGAGGCACGAAAGCGUGGGGAGCAAACAGG